GGUCUUGUAGCUCAACGAAUUAGAGCACGUGGCUAUGAACCACGGUGUCGGAGGUUUGAAUCCCUCCAUGCCCA
rfam:Spinacia oleracea cultivar SynViroflay scaffold28111.con0002.1, whole genome shotgun sequence.